rnacentral:rRNA from 1 species
ACGUAGUUGGCCGGGCCUUCUUCUGGAGGUACCGUCAUUUUCGUCCCUCCUGAAAGCGGUUUACAACCCGAAGGCCUUCAUCCCGCACGCGGUGUCGCUGCAUCAGGCUUUCGCCCAUUGUGCAAUAUUCCCU